AGAACAUCUGUUGCUAAGUAGAAUUGUGAAUUCUGUUUUCUCAAGUCAUCGGUAUCACCGGAACCCCAGGGUUCCAGUGGGAAAACUUUUGUGACUGCACAGAGAGCAGUGUCAUACUGACAACAUACUGCUGGCAGACAUCAGCUACAUUUAAGUGAUGACAAGAUUAAGCUGAAUUUCUGAAAAAUGAAGGACAUGAUGUUCAGAAAAAAAAGAAACAAAAAGUGUGAACCUGCAAUAAGAAAGACUUCAGACCGUGCAAGUUUCUGAAAGCAUCACAGCUUCAAAAACAGAGGACUGUUUUUAGGUAGGAGGAAGUAAUGAAAAACAUUGUAAAAUGCUUUUGUUGAGUUUUUUUGACCUUUUACCAAGUGCUCCAGGCCUGCAUGAAACGUUUGAUAAAGCAUGCUCAUGAUUCUUUGUGAUGGCAACUGUGGGCAAACAAGACUUGGAGUCCUUAGCUGGGCCCUGCCAUGGCCAGCCAAGCCUGGGGAAGAUUUUCAGGCUAACACUUGAUAUGUAAAUCUGUUCUCGACUCUGCAGUGAUGCUUAGCUACUUGGUUCCCAAUAGAAUGAAGCUAAAACCUUAAAAACAUCCCUGCAGUUUUGCACCUGAAUAACUGAGCUGGAAGGGGUACAUAUAUGAGCAGUAGAUGUAUAUUUUUUCCAGAGAUGUUUCUUGGCUCAUCAAAACCAAAUUUCUGAAUUCAUUUGUGUAUUUGCUUAUCUUAGUGAGCAGUACAUGACUUGAGGAUAUAUCUAGUCUGUAUGCCUCUCCACGUCUUACCAUCAAUUACAGCACUUAUUACCCAUGUUUUCUAUUUCUAAAUACAUCUGGAGUUUUGUUUUUAAUUAUUCAUUGAGACAGAGGCUUAUUUUUUACCAGAGUUUCCAAGUGUGCUCUUAGAGCUAUUGGAGCCAAUGUGCGACAGCCAGAGGAAAAAGAGGAGUGCCCAAUGGACUUGGAGAUGUCAAGGCAGCCAUGAACAGCAAGGAGAAUGUCUGAAGUAUAAUUGGUUUAUGGAUGCACAACUAGAAGAUGCUAAGGAGCAAUAUAUUUUCUUAAAAGUAAUGCUGAACGUCAUUUCUUGAAUGUCUUUGCAUACUUCUUUCUAGCAUGACAUGGGGCAAAAUUGACAAAGGUCAGUACUGAGAACUGAUAAUGAAUUUUUUUGCCUAAUUUUUGUUUCUGUGAGUAGUUCUGCUGGUUUCUGUGUGGCUGUCCACAGUGGUUGAAAGCAGAAAAUCUGUUGUGCUGCACCAACCCUUGGAGCCCUUUAAAUACAUAUGAAAUUUGCAGGAUCCACCAAACAGUAGCUCUGUGUAUAGACCCUGAAGUUUCUUCAUUGCACUUUCCCGAGUGGAAAACGAUAGGAACUGUAGUUCUGAGGAUUGUCCAUGGAGGCCACUUAAGAGUAGUACCAUUGUGGUAAUGUAUUCUGGAUACAUGAAGAAAGUGGUACUGCAUGUUAAAUUUAUCACCACAGACACUGAACUAUUAUUUUCUCUGGCUUAUUUCCAUGAUGACAUGGAAGGUAAUGUGCAUGGUCCUACCAACCCUGCCUUAGUCUGACACUCUGUGUUCCAGGGGACAGGGCGUUCUUUCAUUCCACUUGACAUGUUUCUAUUUGCCUCACCCCAUAGGAGAUGAAGAACUGCAGAUUGAUGGAAGGGAUGACCUGCUUUGGGUAAGCUUAUAAAUUUUAAAAUAAUCAGAGCUGCUAUUGUUUUGGGGGUCUAGGGUAACACUAAGUAC
ensembl:lncRNA